rnacentral:rRNA from 1 species
UUGGCCUUGACAUACUAAGAACUUUCCAGAGAUGGAUUGGUGCCUUCGGGAACUUAGAUACAGGUGCUGCAUGGCUGUCGUCAGCUCGUGUCGUGAGAUGUUGGGUUAAGUCCGCAACGAGCGCAACCUUUUCCUUAUUUGCCAGCGGGUCAUGCCGGGAACUUUAAGGAUACUGCCAGUGACAAACUGGAGGAAGGCGGGGACGACGUCAAGUCAUCAUGGCCCUUACGGCCAGGGCUACACACGUGCUACAAUGGUCGGUACAAAGGGUUGCUACCUCGCGAGAGGAUGCUAAUCUCAAAAAAGCCGAUCGUAGUCCGGAUCGCAGUCUGCAACUCGACUGCGUGAAGUCGGAAUCGCUAGUAAUCGCGGAUCAGAAUGCCGCGGUGAAUACGUUCCCGGGCCUUGUACACACCGCCCGUCACACCAUGGGAGUUUGUUGCACCAGAAGUAGGUAGUCUAACCGCAAGGAGGACGCUUACCACGGUGUGGCCGAUGACUGGGGUGAAGUCGUAACAAGGUAGGCGUACUACA